rnacentral:ncRNA from 1 species
CAAAGGCUUGGUCCUGACUUUACUAUCAACUUUAGCCAAACUUACACAUGCAAGUAUCCGCCCCCCUGUGAGAAUGCCCUACAGUUCCCCGCCCGGGAACAAGGAGCUGGUAUCAGGCACACCCCAUUAAGCCCAUGACGCCUUGCUUAGCCACACCCUCAAGGGAACUCAGCAGUGAUAAACAUUAAGCCAUAAGUGAAAACUUGACUUAGUCAAAGCUAAGAGGGCCGGUAAAACUCGUGCCAGCCACCGCGGUUAUACGAGAGGCCCAAGUUGAAAGACAUCGGCGUAAAGAGUGGUUAAGUAAAAACUAAACUAAAGUCGAACAUCUUCAAGGCUGUUAUACGCAUCCGAAGACAAGAAGUUCAACCACGAAGGUGACUUUAUUCGUACUGAACCCACGAAAGCUAGGACACAAACUGGGAUUAGAUACCCCACUAUGCCUAGCCCUAAACCUUGAUAGUGACCUACGCCCACUAUCCGCCUGGGAACUACGAGCAUCAGCUUGAAACCCAAAGGACUUGGCGGUGCUUUAGAUCCACCUAGAGGAGCCUGUUCUAGAACCGAUAACCCCCGUUCAACCUCACCUUUCCUUGUUUUCCCCGCCUAUAUACCGCCGUCGUCAGCUUACCCUGUGAAGGUCUAAUAGUAAGCAAAACUGGCAUAGCCCUAAACGUCAGGUCGAGGUGUAGCGCAUGGGAAGGGAAGAAAUGGGCUACAUUUGCUAUGAUAGCAAAUACGGAUGGUGUUCUGAAAUAUACACCUGAAGGAGGAUUUAGCAGUAAGCGGAAAAUAGAGUGUUCCGCUGAAAUUGGCCCUGAAGCGCGCACACACCGCCCGUCACUCUCCCCAAGCCUGCUAAUUCAAUUAACUAAACCCUAAAAAGGGCAAAGGGGAGGCAAGUCGUAACAUGGUAAGUGUACCGGAAGGUGCGCUUGGAAAAAU